CGGACGGGUGAGUAACGCGUGAGAAUCUGCCCUCAGGAGGGGGAUAACGGCUGGAAACGGCCGCUAAUACCCCAUAUGCCGCGAGGUGAAAUGAAUUUCGCCUGAGGAUGAGCUCGCGUCUGAUUAGCUAGUUGGUGGGGUAAGAGCCUACCAAGGCAUCGAUCAGUAGCUGGUCUGAGAGGAUGAUCAGCCACACUGGGACUGAGACACGGCCCAGACCCCUACGGGAGGCAGCAGUGGGGAAUUUUCCGCAAUGGGCGAAAGCCUGACGGAGCAACGCCGCGUGAGGGAUGAAGGCCUCUGGGCUGUAAACCUCUUUUAUCAAGGAAGAAGAUCUGACGGUACUUGAUGAAUAAGCCACGGCUAAUUCCGUGCCAGCAGCCGCGGUAAUACGGGAGUGGCAAGCGUUAUCCGGAAUUAUUGGGCGUAAAGCGUCCGCAGGCGGCCUUGUAAGUCUGUCGUCAAAGCGUGGAGCUUAACUCCAUUUAAGCGAUGGAAACUGCAAGGCUAGAGUGUGGUAGGGGCAGAGGGAAUUCCCGGUGUAGCGGUGAAAUGCGUAGAUAUCGGGAAGAACACCAGUGGCGAAGGCGCUCUGCUGGGCCAUAACUGACGCUCAUGGACGAAAGCCAGGGGAGCGAAAGGGAUUAGAUACCCCUGUAGUC
rnacentral:rRNA from 1 species